ACCUGGGUUUGACAUGCACGUGGUACGGAUCUGAAAGGUGAAGGACGCUACCUUCGGGUAGCGAGCGUGCACAGGUGCUGCAUGGCUGUCGUCAGCUCGUGUCGUGAGAUGUUGGGUUAAGUCCCCGCAACGAGCGCAACCCCUACGCUGAGUUACCAGCACGUGAAGUGGGGACUCUCAGUGGACUGCCGGCGACAAGCCGGAGGAAGUGGGGACGACGUCAAGUCAUCAUGGCCCUCAUGUCCAGGGCGACACACGUGCUACAAUGGCCGGCACAACGGGAAGCGAAGUCGCGAGGCAGAGCGGAUCCCUUAAAGCCGGUCCCAGUUCGGAUUGCAGUCUGCAACUCGACUUCAUGAAGCUGGAAUCGCUAGUAAUCGCAGAUCAGCCAAGCUGCGGUGAAUACGUUCCCGGGCCUU
rnacentral:rRNA from 1 species